rnacentral:tRNA from 1 species
GACGAUGUGGCCGAACGGCCAGGCAGAAGUCUGCAAAACUUCUUAAGUGGGUUCAACUCCCAUCAUCGUCUCCA